rnacentral:lncRNA from 7 species
UUUAUCCCUGGAGUGCAUGCGGUGCUCAGUGACUGCCAGGAGGGCUCAGAGCCAUCAGAGGAGGAAGAAGCUUGCCAGCACGGAUGGAGUGAGGAUUCCCACUGGGCUGAGCAUCCCCACAGUGCUGGGCUCUGCAAAAUGGCUUCAGGGGAGCAGAGCAACCUCUCAUCGCGUUCCUCACCGCAGCAGGAUUGGACUCCUGGUGCUGCUGCUGCAAUCCAGACAAAAGCAUCAACUUUCCCCCGACUGCCAGGAUGUUUCUUGGGCCAAAAACACAAAUUCAAGAAUUCAAGCACAUUGAAGAAACCCAGCUAGGAACAAGAACCCAUCACUGACUUCGCUCCUGCUGCACCGGCCCACAGCAUGACAGCUCUCAGCCCUUACCUUUCUAUUUUACACAGCGUGGCUCUACGCUUACGUAAUUCACAUAAGCUUGCAGUGCAUUUUGGAUUUUCCAUGGCAGAUAAGGAGGUGUGUGCCACAGUUUUCCAUUUGCUUCACAUCUCCAUCGUCAGCCUUUAAGGUUUCUGAGUUGGAAGGACUUCUCCUCUCCAUGUAAAUACUCCUCGGUGGCUCGUGAGGAUCCGAUGCAGAAUAGGAAGCACUGCUCUGCCCAACCCCUACGCAACAUGCUUUAUUUCUACAGCAAAAUCAAACAGCACUUUGGGAGCUCCCAUCGCCUUCCAUUUGAGCCUCAGAAUCUCUCCUUUGCCAUCGUAGGAGCAACAUUCCUUUAGAACACAUCCAUUCUCUAACAGCAGGGAAAUCAAAACCAAAAUUCCCUUCAGAGGGCAAUAAAAAAGCCAACAGCCACCCUUGUUUUCAUUAGUCUGAGACUGAAGAGAGGAGCAGUGAAGGUUAAUUCGGUUCCUGUGCCUUUUCUUGGUUUCCUUCAUCCCAAUUUAAGAGGACGGGAAUGAGGCUCUGUUGGAAACGCGCUGUGCUUUCCCUCAAGGAGCUGAGAGCGAUGGUUGGCCUCCUGCAAUUUCCUAACAUUAUUAAAUCUCUCCUCAUUUUCAGACCGUUUUACCUUUCACCCAGAAACCCAUCUCCAUAACCAUAUAGAGGAGACCCAUUUAAUAUUACAAACAAAUGGAUGUUCUGCCCCCCCUGAGCUUUGAAUACAACUGGUAUCUGCGCCCUCUCUCUCCACCUGAUCAGCUUUAUUCCCAUUUCUCUUCCUCAUUAUUCUUGUUUUCCUCCCAACUGGCAACCUUUGAGGACGUAAUUUGGUCAAACAAUGCUGUGCCACGAAAAGAAAAGAACCCAACAACCGAACCCUCUGUAAUGCACUGUAUUGAAUUAAGAUCGCCUGUGGGUAAUGUCCUUAAAAUUAGCAUUGAUUUGAAGCUGUUUUUCAGACGCUGUAUAUCAAAUUCUCAUCUUUCUGGGACCGUUGACAUAAAUUGCAAUCAUGUUUUUUCCAUGCCGGGCUCCAAAAUAAAUCAAGGUGAAGCAC